UCCCAGGUGGCUCAGACCGUAAAGCAUCUUCCUGCAAGGCAGGAGAGCCAGGUUCAAUUCCUGGGUUGGGAA
rfam:TPA: Bos taurus chromosome 9, whole genome shotgun sequence.